rnacentral:misc_RNA from 1 species
UACGUAGGUGGCAAGCGUUGUCCGGACUUAUUGGGCGUAAAGCGCGCGCAGGCGCCCUCUUAAGGUUGAGGUGAAAGCCCCCGGCUCAACCGGGGAGGGCCAUUCGAAACUGGGAGGCUUGAGUAUAGGAGAGAAGAGUGGAAUUCCACGUGUAGCGGUGAAAUGCGUAGAGAUGCGGAGGAACACCAGUGGCGAAGGCGACUCUUUGGCCUAUAACAGACGCUGAGGCGCGAAAGCGUGGGGAGCAAACAGG